AAUAAGCAACGGGUAUUACAUGUAUCUAAGGAACUUUCUGUAAUUCUGUUUUUGAUAACAAGGACAAUUCUGUGAAUAACUUGUAUGUAAUUUGUAAGAAAUUUUAUUUAUUAUUAUUAAUUUAAUUUAAUUUGCCUUUUUUUUUUUAAAAUCAAUAGUUUAUGGUUUUGAGGUGUGCAUUUUAAUUUAUAAGUAAUGUAAUAGGUUCUUUAAUAUCAAUAUCUUAUACC